rnacentral:sRNA from 1 species
AGCGGAAUUCGUGAGACCAGAAACAGUUCCACCUUCCUUUCCAUAGACACUUGGAGGAAUUUAGCUCUGGUUAUUGUCAGAGGUAUCUUUUGGAAUCUAUUGAGUACAUAUCUCUUGAUACAGGAGGUCCAUGUGGAUUAUGAACUGCAUAGGUAUUUGUGGGUAUAAGUCUAUUCCAGCCUUGACCUGUUGGCCUCUCACCCACCAAAACCCUUUGCCAACUGUAAUUUUCUUACCAGGAGUGUAAGUCCAUUUCACUUUUCCUUGGGUACUCAUCCCAUCAAUAUGUUUUUUAAUCCCUUCUGGAAGGCAUAUGUUGUAAUAUCUCUUUAAUCUGCCUUUCUUUACUUACUGUGAUUCGCUCUAGGUUUCUGCAUAUUCCUGCAAAUGGCUUUUUUUUUUUUUUUUUUUUUUUUUUUUUUUUUUU